AACGAACGCUGGCGGCAGGCCUAACACAUGCAAGUCGAGCGCCCUUUCGGGGGAGCGGCGGUCGGGUGAGUACCGCGUGGGAAUAUGCCCUUCUCUACGGAAUAGCCUCGGGAAACUGAGAGUAAUACCGCAUACGCCCUGUGGGGGAAAGAUUUAUCGGGGAAGGAUUAGCCCGCGUUGGAUUAGGUAGUUGGUGGGGUAAUGGCCGACCAAGCCGACGAGCCAUAGCUGGUUUGAGAGGAUGAUCAGCCACACUGGGACUGGGACACGGCCCAGACUCCUGCGGGAGGCAGCAGUGGGGAAUCAUAGACAAUGGGGGGAAGCCUGAUCUAGCCAGGCCGCGGGAGUGAUGAAGGGCUUAGGGUGGUAAAGCUCUUUCAGCUGGGAAGAUAAGGACGGUACCAGCAGAAGAAGCCCGGGCGAACUCCGG
rnacentral:rRNA from 1 species